rnacentral:hammerhead_ribozyme from 1 species
AUGCAGCUGAGGAGUUCCAAAUAGGACGAAACGCGCGUCCUGGAU